UGAGAGGUUGAGAGACAGAGACAGGGGGGAAGAGAGAAAGAAAAGAAAGAAAGAGAGAAAGAGAGAGAGCUUACUAGAGCCAGCCUUUUAUAGAAAGCCGUUUCUUUCAUUAUAACAGGUCUUUUCAUCAAAGUGACACAGAACCUUUAAAUUUGGGCAUAAUACUCCUGUAAAGUACACAGCCACAGCCUAAAAUGGAGUUAGAACCUGCUCUAGAAAGAAAACAAACUCCCUCAUUUGACACAAAUUGUUUACGAUUCAUUAAAAAGCAAAAUUGCAUAUCACAGUGCUGGCAGCUGAGUCCAUAUGGGUGCAAGGGGUAUUCACUCAUCUCUUUGUAUGCUGGCAGUACCAAACCGAAGUUUAGCACUGUGCAGCUGAGAUUUUGUGCAGCCAGACGAUGCAUGAGUGGUGAUUACAACUGUGUGAUUUUUAGAUCUGUUCCUAAUCUGGGAGGAGUUUUCCUUGGGAAGCCUGCAGUUAGAUGAGUUGUGAAGAGGAUUUCCUUAUCUCCAGCAGUGACAAUUAGUUCAAGUGCCACGCGAGAGCCGGCAGUUGAUUUUUGGGCAGCCUCUGAACUUGUGCAAAGUUGCUGACAACAAGUGUGUGUUCUAGCUUUUGGAAAUCCUAUAAUCCUGGCUUCAAUCAAGAGGAUCUGCUGUUGCUGAAGGCAUAAACAAGGAGAGAAGCAGCAUGUGACCACUGCUCCUGCACCUUCAAGGAUUUCUGAGCCAAAAUGAGUGCAACAGUAAAGCUUCUAUUGGUUACUUAAGACAACACACACAUUUUGGAUGAUCUUGCUAAAGCCAGGAGCCCUUUCUCCUCUGUAGGAAAGUUGUCUUUGCACUCUGCAUUUUCCCCUGCAGUUAUGUGUAUUUCUCCCUGCAUCCCUUUCACUCCUCUGAUUUUCUUCUUACCAUCUGUAUUCCCCUUUUGCCUCAUCUGAAGCAAGCAUCAAGAUCUUGUUUCUGACAGAACGGUCUGUCAAUAUGGAAACACACUGACAUCACAGACAGUGCUGUGACUUCAUGUCUGAAAGAAACAGGAGGAACAGAUGAAAGGAGUGAAAGGGAAAGAAUGACACAUACAAACAUUUAAAAAAUAUAAGUGAAGAUUCUUCUCUACUAGUCCAAAACAUAAAGGAACAUAAAAACCCAGUUUAAAUAUAAAUAUAACCAACUACUUUCUAAUCUGUGACCAUAACACAACAUUUCACCAUGCUCUUUACCCUAAGGAGGUACCUGGCCCUGAGGAGCACAUGCUUGGUGAUGUCCCUGUGACAGCAAAUAUAACCCCUUGAAAAGAGCUAAAUAGAGACUAGUCUGGCAAAAAAGCUAAUAUCAUAGAAUCACAGAAACAACCAGGUUGAAAGAGACCUCCAAGAUCAUCCAAUCAAGCACAAUGCUCACACAUGGGAGAAAUCUUUAGAUGGAAAGGAGGAGUCUUGCCCUAAACCAAUCCAAAACAGCUAAGUAAAUGCAGAAUUAUAGAAUUUAAAGUAUUCAUCAAACUCACAAACUCAAUGUUGAUGCAGCUGGAUCAAAGGUCAUAUUACUCCACUGUGGUAUCCAGAAAAUAUUGAGUACAGAAAGGGGAAACAUCACCUCACUCUCAUUUGCUUUGAAAGUUGUUAAUAUUUCAUUCCAGGAAAAGUACCUAACACCAGAUUUUUUUUUAAGAAUAAGAAUUUGGGAGGAGUUAAAAGCCUCCAAUUUCCCUUACUAUUUGAAAUACUUAUUUUUGUUUAACAUUAGAGGGCAUCCAGAAGAUAAUGCUUUCUUGCCAUCUAAUAAGGAGAUUCAUAAGUAGCAGGAGAGGAGCUCAAGAAAACUAAAAGGUUAAUAUAUUCUAACUAGAUGUUGGGUAUAGAAUGUCAGAUCUGUCAAAUUUCAUUACAGUUUGCUGCUCAAUGAAAAAGAUUUGAUUUCUUUUGCCACUGUCCUACUAUGUUCAAGUCACACAGUGCCAGCAGCAACCAGCCAACGACCACAGGCUGGCACUGAGCGGGCCCGAGUGGGAAGCCAGCCGCAAGGACCAUCUGUUUCCGAUUUCUAGCGAAGCCAAGAUGUGCAGUGAAGUGCAUUCCAUUCACCCAGCCAGCCUUCUCCCUGCUCAAGUUAUUAGUGUUACAAGUGAAAUUAUCUCUUCUAAACAGCAGGGGAGCUAUAAUCCUUAUGGAACAAGACUCUAAAUAGGGGGGUGGAAAAGAAAGAAAAAAAAAGAGAAGGAAAAAAAAAGGGCAGAAUAAAAGCUUCCCCCCACCCCCAAACAUCUUUUGUUAGAAGUUGAUGAUACUGUUUUUAAAUGUAAUUGCCAUGUUCAUGAGUUUUGUAAUUGUAAAUGAUGUUUCAUUAAGAGCUAUAUCCUCUGAGGGAAAAAAAAAUGUGUAUGUUGAUUCAUGGGAUUUAAUGUAAUAAACCAUUCAAACAUA